rnacentral:tRNA from 1 species
GUUUAUAUAGUUUAACAAAAACAUUACAUUUUCAUUGUAAAAAUAAAAUUUUAUAUUUUUAUAAAUU